rnacentral:rRNA from 1 species
UCACACCUGCCUCAGCCUCGGGA